rnacentral:siRNA from 1 species
AUCAUGCCGCUAUCAAACUUGUGC